rnacentral:rRNA from 1 species
GACGAACGCUGGCGGCGUGCCUAAUACAUGCAAGUAGGACGCAGUUGCGAACGGGUGAGUAACGCGUAGGUAACUACCUAUUAGAGGGGGAUAACUAUUGGAAACGAUAGCUAAUACCGCAUACUAGUAGAUGGACCUGCGUUGUAUUAGCUAGUAGGUAGGGUAAUGGCCUACCUAGGCAACGAUACAUAGGCGACCGGGGAGGGGGAGCGGCCACACUGGUACUGAGAAACGGGCCAGACUCCUACGGGAGGCAGCAGUAGGGAAUCUUCGGCAAUGGGGGGAAACCUGACCGAGCAAAGCCGCGGGAGUGAAGAAGGUUUUCGGAUCGUAAAGAUCUGUUGUGAAGGAAGCGGUACUUAACCAGAAAGGGACGGCUAACUACGUGCCAGCAGCCGCGGUAAUUC